rnacentral:tRNA from 3 species
CAGAAAGUAGUUUAGUUUAGAAUCUUGGCUUUGGGAGUCAGGGGUGUGAGUUAAAAUCUCUCCUUUCUGG